GACAGAGGGUGCAAACGUUGCUCGGAAUUACUGGGCGUAAAGGGCUCGUAGGUGGCCAACUAAGUCAGACGUGAAAUCCCUCGGCUUAACCGGGGAACUGCAUCUGAUACUGGAUGGCUGGAGAUUGGGAGAGGGAUGCGGAAUUCCAGGUGUAGCGGUGAAAUGCGUAGAUAUCUGGAGGAACACCGGUGGCGAAGGCGGCAUCCUGGACCAACACUGACGCUGAGGAGCGAAAGCCAGGGGAGCAAACGGG
rnacentral:rRNA from 1 species